rnacentral:rRNA from 1 species
UACGAAGGGGGCUAGCGUUGCUCGGAAUCACUGGGCGUAAAGCGCACGUAGGCGGACUCUUAAGUCAGGGGUGAAAUCCUGGAGCUCAACUCCAGAACUGCCUUUGAGACUGCAUCGCUAGAAUCAUGGAGAGGUAAGUGGAAUUCCGAGUGUAGAGGCGAAAUUCGUAGAUAUUCGGAAGAACACCAGUGGCGAAGGCGACUUACUGGACAGGUACUGACGCUGAGGUGCGAAAGCGUGGGGAGCAAACAGG